GUGCUCACUUAGGCAGCACAUAUACUAAAAUUGGAACAAUACAGAGAAGAUUAGCACGGCCCCUGCUCAAGGAUGACACACAAAUUCGUGAAGCGUUCCAUAUUUUU
ensembl:snRNA U6 U6 spliceosomal RNA